UACGUAGGGUGCGAGCGUUGUCCGGAAUUAUUGGGCGUAAAGCGCUCGUAGGCGGUUUGUUGCGUCUAUCGUGAAAACCUGCAGCUUAACUGUGGGCUUGCGGUGGAUACGGGCAGACUUGAGUUCGGUAGGGGAGACUGGAAUUCCUGGUGUAGCGGUGAAAUGCGCAGAUAUCAGGAGGAACACCGGUGGCGAAGGCGGGUCUCUGGGCCGAUACUGACGCUGAGGAGCGAAAGCGUGGGGAGCGAACAGG
rnacentral:rRNA from 1 species